rnacentral:rRNA from 1 species
AGUGAACGCUGGCGGUAGGCCUAACACAUGCAAGUCGAACGGCAGCACAGUAAGAGCUUGCUCUUACGGGUGGCGAGUGGCGGACGGGUGAGGAAUACAUCGGAAUCUACUUUUUCGUGGGGGAUAACGUAGGGAAACUUACGCCAAUACCGCAUACGACCUACGGGUGAAAGCAGGGGAUCUUCGGAUCUUGCGCGAUUGAAUGAGCCGAUGUCGGAUUAGCUAGUUGGCGGGGUAAAGGCCCACCAAGGCGACGAUCCGUAGCUGGUCUGAGAGGAUGAUCAGCCACACUGGAACUGAGACACGGUCCAGACUCCUACGGGAGGCAGCAGUGGGGAAUAUUGGACAAUGGGCGCAAGCCUGAUCCAGCCAUACCGCGUGGGUGAAGAAGGCCUUCGGGUUGUAAAGCCCUUUUGUUGGGAAAGAAAAGCAGCAGGUUAAUACCCCGCUGUUCUGACGGUACCCAAAGAAUAAGCACCGGCUAACUUCGUG